rnacentral:rRNA from 1 species
GGCCGGGCGACGGUUGUCCCGGUUUAAGCGUGUAGGCUGGUUUUCCAGGCAAAUCCGGAAAAUCAAGGCUGAGGCGUGAUGACGAGGCACUACGGUGCUGAAGCGACAAAUGCCCUGCUUCCAGGAAAAGCCUCUAAGCAUCAGGUAACAUCAAAUCGUACCCCAAACCGACACAGGUGGUCAGGUAGAGAAUACCAAGGCGCUUGAGAGAACUCGGGUGAAGGAACUAGGCAAAAUGGUGCCGUAACUUCGGGAGAAGGCACGCUGAUAUGUAGGUGAAGCGACUUGCUCGUGGAGCUGAAAUCAGUCGAAGAUACCAGCUGGCUGCAACUGUUUAUUAAAAACACAGCACUGUGCAAACACGAAAGUGGACGUAUACGGUGUGACGCCUGCCCGGUGCCGGAAGGUUAAUUGAUGGGGUUAGCGGUAACGCGAAGCUCUUGAUCGAAGCCCCGGUAAACGGCGGCCGUAACUAUAACGGUCCUAAGGUAGCGAAAUUCCUUGUCGGGUAAGUUCCGACCUGCACGAAUGGCGUAAUGAUGGCCAGGCUGUCUCCACCCGAGACUCAGUGAAAUUGAACUCGCUGUGAAGAUGCAGUGUACCCGCGGCAAGACGGAAAGACCCCGUGAACCUUUACUAUAGCUUGACACUGAACAUUGAGCCUUGAUGUGUAGGAUAGGUGGGAGGCUUUGAAGUGUGGACGCCAGUCUGCAUGGAGCCGACCUUGAAAUACCACCCUUUAAUGUUUGAUGUUCUAACGUGGGCCCCUUACCGGGGUUGCGGACAGUGUCUGGUGGGUAGUUUGACUGGGGCGGUCUCCUCCUAAAGAGUAACGGAGGAGCACGAAGGUUGGCUAAUCCUGGUCGGACAUCAGGAGGUUAGUGCAAUGGCAUAAGCCAGCUUGACUGCGAGCGUGACGGCGCGAGCAGGUGCGAAAGCAGGUCAUAGUGAUCCGGUGGUUCUGAAUGGAAGGGCCAUCGCUCAACGGAUAAAAGGUACUCCGGGGAUAACAGGCUGAUACCGCCCAAGAGUUCAUAUCGACGGCGGUGUUUGGCACCUCGAUGUCGGCUCAUCACAUCCUGGGGCUGAAGUAGGUCCCAAGGGUAUGGCUGUUCGCCAUUUAAAGUGGUACGCGAGCUGGGUUUAGAACGUCGUGAGACAGUUCGGUCCCUAUCUGCCGUGGGCGCUGGAGAACUGAGGGGGGCUGCUCCUAGUACGAGAGGACCGGAGUGGACGCAUCACUGGUGUUCGGGUUGUCAUGCCAAUGGCACUGCCCGGUAGCUAAAUGCGGAAGAGAUAAGUGCUGAAAGCAUCUAAGCACGAAACUUGCCCCGAGAUGAGUUCUCCCUGACUCCUUGAGAGUCCUGAAGGAACGUUGAAGACGACGACGUUGAUAGGCCGGGUGUGUAAGCGCAGCGAUGCGUUGAGCUAACCGGUACUAAUGAACCGUGAGGCUUAACCUU